rnacentral:rRNA from 1 species
AUCGAACGCUGGCGGCAUGCUUUACACAUGCAAGUCGAACGGUAACAGGUUAAGCUGACGAGUGGCGAACGGGUGAGUAAUGCAUCGGAACGUGCCCGAUCGUGGGGGAUAACGCAGCGAAAGCUGCGCUAAUACCGCAUACGAUCUGAGGAUGAAAGCGGGGGACCGUAAGGCCUCGCGCGAUCGGAGCGGCCGGUGUCAGAUUAGGUAGUUGGUGGGGUAAAGGCUCACCAAGCCAACGAUCUGUAGCUGGUCUGAGAGGACGACCAGCCACACUGGGACUGAGACACGGCCCAGACUCCUACGGGAGGCAGCAGUGGGGAAUUUUGGACAAUGGGCGAAAGCCUGAUCCAGCAAUGCCGCGUGCAGGAAGAAGGCCUUCGGGUUGUAAACUGCUUUUGUACGGAGCGAAAAGGCUCUCUCUAAUACAGGGGGCUCAUGACGGUACCGUAAGAAUAAGCACCGGCUAACUACGUGCCAGCAGCCGCGGUAAUAC